GACGAACGCUGGCGGCGUGCUUAACACAUGCAGGUCGAACGGAAAGGCCCUGCUUUUGUGGGGUGCUCGAGUGGCGAACGGGUGAGUAACACGUGAGUAACCUGCCCUUGACUUUGGGAUAACUUCAGGAAACUGGGGCUAAUACCGGAUAGGAGCUCCUGCUGCAUGGUGGGGGUUGGAAAGUUUCGGCGGUUGGGGAUGGACUCGCGGCUUAUCAGCUUGUUGGUGGGGUAGUGGCUUACCAAGGCUUUGACGGGUAGCCGGCCUGAGAGGGUGACCGGCCUCAUUGGGACUGAGAUACGGCCCAGACUCCUACGGGAGGCAGCAGUGGGGAAUAUUGCACAAUGGGCGGAAGCCUGAUGCAGCAACGCCGCGUGCGGGAUGACGGCCUUCGGGUUGUAAACCGCUUUCGCCUGUGACGAAGCGUGAGUGACGGUAAUGGGUAAAGAAGCACCGGCUAACUACGUG
rnacentral:rRNA from 1 species